rnacentral:lncRNA from 1 species
ACAAAGAAAAGUGUCUCUUGGAGUUUAGAUCACUGGGCUCAGAUUCCUUGUACAAAAAGGGAGUUCCGAUCACUUGUUUAUUUUCCUCGCGUUAGGGAUUUAACAUAUAGUUAUUUCCCGAACCGGUUUUGUACAGAUGCUUCCCAUUAAUGGGUUCAAACACUAAAUCCCUCUCACUGAUGCACCUAGCAAUGGCUCAUGCCUCUCACCUAGCACUUGCCAUUCAAGGUGAUCUUUAACCUUGGAUUAACCGUCAAAAGCUCACAAGAGAUAACUAAUGGAUGUCUCUGUAGAGUCCAAAAGCUUACCAAGUGUUGCUAUUCUAGAAAAUCCUACCUUCAAACCACCUCCCAAAGGCUCGCAAGAGAUAAACUAGUGCAUCUCUAUGGAUGGAGAUCACUUGCCUUACCAAGUGUUGGCCCAGGUGAUUUAAAGGCGUUUUAAGUUAACUAAAAAGAUAAAAACCAUUAACGGGUCACACUUUCUCUUCAUUAAAAACUAAAACAACAAAACUUCCAAUUUAUGCAUUUGGAAACUUACCCAGCUUUCUUUACUCUAAGAGACGAAGAGCCUAGCCUCUCAUCCUCUGAGGAAAAAUCCUUAGAGUUUGAUUGGCUAGAAAGAAAAAUAACGAGAGAACAAAAAUAUAUAUGAAAAGCAGAGCAAGUGCUCUGUAUUUUACUUCAUUCCCAAAAUUGUACAAAAGGUUCUCUCUUCCUCGGGAACAGGCUCCCGAGAGAUAUUUAUAAGGAAAAUUAAAAAAUAAUAUAUAUAAGGUUAUUUAUCCUUUUUCCAAACUUAAUAACUAAGGAAUCCUAUAAUUGGUGGGUUACAAGGAGAUUUUGGGGAUUUAGACAUCAAAUAUCUAAAGCAAAAUAUCUAAAGAUAAAUAUCUAAAGGAAAAUAUAUAAAGAUGUCGGUCGCAAAUAUCGAGAAGCUUCAGGAGAACACUGCGGCACUGUGUAAAAUUGGCUGCGAAACUCUCUGGGUGAGCGCUAUUAUAGGAUCCGGAUAUGUAUAUUCAGAGAAGUUGAAACGCCCUCCUCUCCCAUCCGACUCCUGAAUUCCGGAUGUGAUACAUCCGGGUGGAAUGGCGGUGGCAGCAGAAUUCCGGAUGUGAUACAUCCGGGUGGAAAGUGGCGGCAGUUGGAUGGAAUGGCAGCGGCAGCCGAAUGGAAAAGUGGCGGGCAGCCGGAUGUAAUGGCGGCAGAAGUCGGAUGGAAUGGCGGCGGCAACCGGAUGGAAUUCCUACCUGGGUGGAAUGAGCUAUGAUUCCCGUCCGGGUGGAAUGAGCAGGAUCCCAUACUCCUUGUAUUCUGGAUUUGCUUAUGGCAAAGGACUUCAAAGCUUCGGCUCUUCAUGUUUCUGAGGUUUCCAUUGCUUUGCCAUGGAUUCCAAAUAACUCUCCUCAAUAUCAAAUUACUUUGGUGAUCAAAAAGCUAUCAAAACACCAAAACUUAACACAAUUUUAUUAGAAUUGAUUGCAAGAGUCCUUAAUAUGUUAAUUGGGUUAAAAGGUGAUAACUACUACUCAAAAAUGUUUAAAAGAGUUAAUUACAAGCUAUGAAGUAGCACUUUUUGAGUAGUAAUCACUGCACAUGCCACCCAUUUGCACCAGCCAUCAUCUUUUAGCCAACUGCAGGUCAAUGACGGCUUGACUUGGUCACUGGUUGUCUAAGCUAGCUGCCACUUGCUAGCUGCACUGCCUUCUCCUUUAGGUCUUGCUCGCCAAGCUGCUGGUGAGUCCCCCUAACAAGCCGACCCCUCCCCCUCAAGGCGCCUCUUGUGACCGGGUGCCCAUCAGCAUGUCUUUGAUCAAGGCUCUCCGAACUAGGCAGCGUGCACUACCCAUCUGACUUAGCGUCUGGUGCAUCAGUGUGCCUUCCUCACACUGAUGUCUGAGCCCGUGCCAUGUCUAGGUGCCCAUGGCUUGGGCUUGCUUCCCAACUUCCCAACAACGAGCCAUGGCAUUGCGCCCAUGGCUAAUCCUUCUUGGUGCACAGGGCAUUGCGCUCCUGUGCUGUGCGUAGGCAUCUCGGUGCGAGUAAGCUAUUGGAGCCAUCAGACCAUGGCAUUGCGCCCAUGGUUUCAUCAGCUGGCUCAUCGCACAAGGCUUAGGCGCCCUCGUGCCUGCGCGGGGAGGGGGUAGGCCGCACCAGGCCCCAUGCCGUUGCGGCCACGGGGUGCAUAACACACAUGUCGUGGAGCCCAUGUGUGCGUGCUCGAGUCGCGUCGUGUGUCUUUGGCACGCCAAGGCCGUGCCAUGGUGCCNNNNNNNNNNNNNNNNNNNNNNNNNNNNNNNNNNNNNNNNNNNNNNNNNNNNNNNNNNNNNNNNNNNNNNNNNNNNNNNNNNNNNNNNNNNNNNNNNNNNCCCCCCCUUAAAGAGCAAUACAGACCGUUUUCAUUGUUUCUUGAGGAGACAUCAAUAUGUCUGAGGAUUCAUAAUGGAAUAUAAUUUUAAUUAUAAAUUAAAAUUCCAAGUCAGCCUUCAUCUGCACCACCUAAGUCAGGUGCGCGCGCGAUGCCCAUCUGGUGCGCACGCGGUGCAUGUCUGGCUCGCCCGCGGUGCGUGCGCGGUGCGCGUCUAGCCUGCUCACGGUGCACAUCUGGCUCGCUCGUGUGCGCGCGUGGUGCGCGUCUGGCCUGCUCGCGAUGCGCGUUUGGCUCGCCCGUGGUGCGCGUGUGGUGUGCGUUUAGCUCGCCCACGGUGCGCAUCUGGCUCGCCCUUGGUGCGCGUUUGGCUCGCCCACGGCCUCCUCACAUGGCUCCUGGAGUUUGAGCCACCAAACCUCCAAGAUUUCUCUGCUUUCAUCCUAGGCUUUCAUGGGUGCAAGGCCUACCCAUGAGGCCUAUUCCUCCAUGGUUAAGUCAAGGGUCUAAGGGGCUGACAAACCUACCCCCGCCUGCUGAAGUCGACGCCCUCGUUGACUUAGUCUGCCAGUAUGUCUAGACCGCCGUCUCAAAUUGCCACAAGGUAACAUCCCUCUCCCAAGUAGCUUCUGCUUCUGAAGUCCUCUUCCACUGAACCAAGAAAUCAGUUCGCCGGUUCUUUCGACUAUGUCUCAUGGUCCUAUGAUCCAAGAUUUUCUCUAUCUCUCGAUCAAACUGCUUCAUGACCAAGGGAGGGGCUCGCUUUGUUUGCACCAUCUCUGCAUCUAGAUCCUCAUGGUAAGGCUUUAGAAAGCUCACAUGGAAAGUCGGGUGAAGCUUGAGCCUUUCAGGCAGCUUCAACAUGUAGGCCACCUGCCCAACUCGUUUGAUUACCUCGAAUGGUCCGUCAUACUUAGGAAUUAGACCCCUCUGCCUUGUCUUGCUGCUGAUUUUCUUUCAGAUCUGAGGAGUCAAUUUUAGGAGGACCCUGUCCCCAACCUGAAAUUCCAAGAGUCUGCGGUCACGAUCUGCAUACUUCUUCAUACGUCUAGCUGCCUUCUCUAGACUGUCUCGGGCUUCAUCGAACAUCUCCUGCCGGGACUGAGCCAACUUGUAUGCUGCUGGAUUACUUCCUCCAGCUUUCUACUUAGCCACCUCCAAAGGCAUCUAUGGCUGCACCCCAAUAGCUAGCUUAAAGGGACUCAUCCCUGGUGCUGAGCUUCUCUGCAAGUUGUAGCACAACUGAGCAGUAUCCAUUAAGUCCACCCAGUUCUUUUGUGUUGCUAUCACAUAGUGCCUGAGGUAUUCCUCCAGCAAGGCAUUGAUCCUCUCCGUCUGCCCAUCAGUCUGAGGAUGGUUGGCUGUAGAGAAUUUCAACUCUGAACCCAAGAGUCUGAACAACUCAACCCAAAACCGGCCUGUGAAUCAUGCGUCUCGAUCACUAACUAUGUUCUUAGGCAACCCAAAAUGUUUCACCACAUUACUGAAAAACAACUUAGCGGCUUCCUCCACAGGGCAAGCAUGAGGGGCAGGUAUAAACACAACAUACUUAGAAAAUCUAUCUACCACAACAAAGACAGAUUUGAAAUCACGAACCUUUGGGAAUCCAGUGAUAAAAUCCAUGGAAAUGUUCUCCCAAGGUCUUUCUAGAAUGGGGAGGGGCUGUAGCAACCCUGCAGCCUUCUUCCUUUCAGUCUUGUCCAUCUGACAGAUCAAGCAAGACUUCACAUAUGCCUGGACAUCCUCACCCAUCUUAGGUCAAUAGUAAGAUCUGGCUAGCAGCGCCAGAGUCUUUUCUUCUCCGGGAUGACCUGCCUACUUCGAAUCAUGAGUUUCCCGCAACAAAUCCUUUCUCAGGCCGCCUGCAGGAACAUACCAUCUUCCUCCCUUUGCCACAAGGAGGUCACCCUCUAGCCAAUACCUCUUAAUCACCCCCUCCUUUACUUGCUGUUUCAGCCUGCCAUAUGCGGCAUCCUGCUCUACAACUAGCUUGAUCUUCUCAUUGAAGUCAGAGACGACUUCUGAGAGGACCGUGAUAUAGGCAAUUACCUCUUUCCUACUCAAGGCAUCAGCCACAGGGUUAUGCCUUCCUGGUCGAUGUAGCCACUCAAAUUUGAAGUCGGCCAGGAGCUCCUGCCAUCGCGCCUGUCUGGGACUCAGCUUCUUCUGGGCCUUAAAGAAGGUGUUGGCCACAUUAUCAGUGACCACUAUGAAGAUACUUCCUAACAAGUAAUGCCUCCACUGCUGCAGGCAAUGCACCACAACCGUCAUUUCCUUCUCGUGAGUGGAGUAUCUCUGCUCUGUAUUAUUUAGCUUCCUACUUUCAAACGCCAUAGGGUGUCUUUCUUGCACCAAGACUCCACCCAAGGCUCUAUUAGAGGCAUCUGUUUGGACUUCAAAGGGUAAGUCUAGGUCUGGCAACCACAGCACAGGCUCAGUGGAGAUGGCUUUCUUCAAGCCUUCAAAGGCCAUCUGACACUACAUGUUCCAAUCCCAUGAGUUGUCCUUCUUCAAUAGGUUAGUAAGGGGAGGCACUCUUGGAAUACCCCUUAAUGAACUUUCUGUAGUAGUUGGCCAAGCUAAGGAAGGACCGCAACUUCGUCACUUUGGUAGGGACUGUCCACUCCAUAAUAGCCUGCACUUUGCCCUUGUCCAUCCUGAUCAGGCUUGCACUAAUCUUGUGCCCAAGAAACGUGAUUUCCUCUUGAGCAAACUCGCACUUUUCUAGCUUUACAUAAAGCCUGUUCUCCCUCAAUCUCUGAAACACCAAUCUCAAAUGUCUCUCAUGUUCUGUUAGAGUUUUACUAUAAACUACAAUGUCAUCUAGAUAUACCACCACAAAGACAUCCAAAUAAUCAAACAGAACAUCAUUCAUCAAAUUACAGAAUGUAGCAGGAGCAUUUGUCAAGCCAAAAGACAUUACCAGAAACUCGUAUGAUCCAUACCGAGUUACACAAGUGGUAUUCCCUUCAUCUCCUACUGCAAUUCGAACCUGCCAGUAGCCCGAUCUCAGGUCCAGCUUGGUGAAGUAAGAAGCUUUUGACAGUCUGUCAAACAGCUCAACAGCCAAGGGGAUCGGGUACUUGUUCUUGAUGGUCACCUUGUUGAGGGCUCUGUAGUCCACACACAUGCGGAGUGAGCCAUCCUGCUUCUUUUGGAACAGCACUGGUGCACCAUAUGGUGCCCUGGAGGGUUGGAUCAGACCUGCAUCCAGUAACUCCUUUAGCUGCUUACGUAACUCCAACAACUCUGCAGGAGGCAUCCGGUAAGGGGCUUGAGCCGGGGCCUUUGUUCCAGGUAGCAGCUCGAUUUGUGGUCAAUGGGUCGCCGGGGUGGCAACUCCUUGGGGAGUUCUGCAAGCAUCACAUCUUUGAACUCUUUAAGGAUCUUGACCACUGAGUCAGGGGCUUCCACAGACUGUCCCUCCUUGAUCUCGAUCAAGGCUGCAACAUAGGUCUCCUGGCCCUUCUUCAAUCCUUUAUUCAAUUGAAUAGCAGACAACAUCUCAGGUUGUCCCUUACCACCAUCUUUCGUCCUCAAGGCCUUCACGAAGCAAGGUUGCUUCUCUUCUAGCACCACCAGUCCACCAAGAUGUGGAAUCAAGGCCACCUUGGCCCUUAAGAGAAAGUCUACACCAAGGAUCAAGUCAAAAUCAUCCAAAGGCACACAAAGUAAACUACACGUACCCUUCCAGUCACCGAUCUGCAUAGGGACGUUCUUGGCUACCCUUUGGAUCUUUUGGGCUUUGCUGUUGACUGCCUUGAUCCGACUGGUGUCCUCCUCCAAUUUAAGUCCCAACCUGGUUGCUUCUCUGGUGGCCACGAAAUUGUGAGUGGCACCACUGUCCACUAAGGCCUUCACUUGCACACCAUUCACCACUGCAUGGACGUGCAUCAGAGACUUCUGGACUGGGGUCUCACCAUUGAUCACGUUUAGAAGUUGCAGUGGGUUGACUCUUGGAAUGGUCUCCGAGUCAGAGUCUCCCUUGUCAUUUGCAGACACCAGGGUUGAGAGUUUCUCUCUUUUAGGGCAGUCUCUAGCUCGAUGAGGGCCAUUGCAGAUGAAACAUCUUGCCAUCCGAGUGGUCUGCUGCACAAACUUAGUGGUCUUCUCCACUGGAUUUCCUCCUACAGUAGACUUCUUGCCUUGUUUCUUCCACCCAGGCUUCUUAGAAGCCUUGCCCUCAGCCUUUGCCUUCUUACCCCCGUAUGACUUGGGUCUCUGCGUGGUAGAGAUGGCACCACCCAUCUUGUAGUCCACCAAGCAGUCUGCUGCAGCCAUGGCAGCGGGGAGAUCACGAACUCUUUGCCUCCGAAGUUCCGUCUGAGCCCAUCCUUGCAAACCUGACAUGAAGUUAAAGAGUUUGUCCUCCUCUGACAUGUUCUUUAUGUCCAACAUCAAGGAACUGAACUCCUUGACGUAUUCCCUCACGGAUCCGGUGUGUCUGAACCUUUUCAACGCUUCUCGGGCCACCCACGCAGUGUUGGUGGGAAGGAACUGAUCCUUCAAUUCCUUCUUCAUAGUCUCCCAAGUGGUGAUCUGGGGCCUUCCCGACUCUGCAUCGUCUUCCAUCCUGGUUCGCUACCAUAGCUUGGCAUCACUAGUCAGAUACAUGCUGGUGAUGGACACCUUCUCGCCAUCAGGUACAUGAGCAGCCUUGAAGAACUGCUCCAUGUCUCACAAGAAGUUCUCCAACUCUUUUGCGUUUCUGUUGCCAUUGAAGCCUUUAGGCUCCGGGACUCGAACCUUAGAAGAAGGGGCAUCAGGGCCUGACGAGGACCCCUGCAACACAGCCUUUUUAAGCACUGCAACGUCCUCUCCAUAGGAUCGCAGGGUGUCCUUAAAUUCGUCCAUCAGGGACUGCAUCUCGGCUUUGAACCCAACAAUAUUCUCCUCAAAGAAGUUGUCAUGGUUCUCCAGCAGACUCCUCUGCACUUGGAUCUCGCCCAUGGUGUGUUCAGCCCACGAGGCCACAGUGUCUUCCUCACCUGGCCAUUCUCCCAGCGCUUCUUCCAUCCGAGUCAUUCUUUCACGCAGGACGUCCAUUGCACUACCACCAGCCAUCUCUGGUGCGCACUCUGAUACCAAUUGUCACACCCCUGGUUAUCUCACUUAAUUUUUCACGAGUGUGCGGUGCUAAGGACCCUUCCUUAGCCAAUCUUCCAUUCCCAGCGUUUAGAAGAACAUAGUAGAAUACAGAAAUAAACAAGCAACAGGGACACACGAGGUUACGGGAAUCCUUUCCCAACUUGUAUUAAUCACUCUUACAAGACAAAAUUGCUUCUUGAACCAGAGUACAAUGCACUCACCCAAGGCAUACGAGAAGGAACCCUUUUCCCAAAUUCUCUCUCUAUUUCAAGGUUGCAGGAGCCCUAUUUAAAUGACUCAAUCUAUAGUUACAAAUUUGAAUUCCCUCAAUUCAAAUCUUGGAGCCAACUAGGUGGUCAUGCAACUGGCCAGAACUGCUCUCAACUGCCCUGCAUAACCACCCACUACCCAGAUAGUGGGCUACACAUGCCACCCACUUGCACCAGCCAUCAUCCUUCAGCCAACUGCAGGUCAAUGACGGCUUGACUUGGUCACUGGUUGUCUGAGCUAGCUGCCACUUGCUAGCUGCACUGCCUUCUCCUUCAGGUCUUGCUAGUCAAGCUGCUGGUGAGUCCCCCUAACAAGCUGACCCCUCCCCCUCAAGGCGUCUCUUGUGACCGGGUGCCUAUCAGCAUGUCUUUGAUCAAGGCCCUCCGAACCAAGCAGCGUGCACCACCCAUCUGACCAAGCGUCUGGUGCAUCAGUGUGCCUUUCUCACACUGAUGUCUGAGCCCGUGCCAUGUCUAUGUGCCCAUGGCUUGGGCUUGCUUCCCAGCUUCCCAACAACGAGCCAUGGCAUUGCGCCCAUGGCUAAUCCUUCUUGGUGCACAGGGCAUUGCGCCCUUGUGCUGUGCGUAGGCAUCUCGGUGCGAGUCAGCUAUUGGAGCCAUCAGACCAUGACAUUUUGCCCAUGGUUUCAUCAGCUGGCUCACCGCACAAGACUUAGGCGCCCUCGUUCCUGCACGGGGAGAGGGUAGGCCGCACCAGGCCCCGUGCCGUUGCGGCCACGGGGUGCACAACACACAUGUCGUGGAGCCCAUGUGUGCGUGCUCGAGUCGCGUCGUGUGUCUUUGGCACGCCAAGGCCAUGCCAUGGUGCCCUCUUGGUGCGAUCAAGGCUUCUCUUGGUGGCUCCCUCCUUUGAGUCACCUACCCCCCCUUAAAGAGCAAUACAGACCGUUUUCAUUGUUUCUUGAGGAGACAUCAAUAUGUUUGAGGAUGCAUAAUGGAAUAUAAUUUUAAUUAUAAAUUAAAAUUCCAAGUCAGCCUUCAUCUGCACCACCUAAGUCAGGUGCGCGCGCGAUGCCCAUCUGGUGCGCGCGCGAUGCCCAUCUGGUGCGCACGCGGUGCAUGUCUGGCUCGCCCGCUGUGCGCGUCUGGCUUGCUCGCGGUGCGCAUCUGGCUUGCCCAUGUGCGCGCGCGGUGCGCGUCUGGCUCGCCCUUGGUGCGCGUCUGGCUCGCCCUUGGUGCGCGUUUGGCUCGCCCGCAGUGCGCGUCUGGCUCACCCAUGGUGCGCUUCUGGCUCGCCCUUGGUGCGCGCACGGUGCGCGUCUGGCUCGCCCAUGACCUCCUCACAUGACUCCUAGAGUUUGAACCACCAAACCUCCAGGAUUUCCCUGCUUUCAUCCUAGGCUUUCAUGGGUGCAAGGCCUACCCAUGAGGCCUAUUCCUCCAUGGUUAAGUCAAGGGUCUAAGGGGCUGACAACUACCCUUAUACCUUAUUUUUUUCCAAUAAGUGUUUGAUUGUGAAAUGUUGAUAAAAACAAUGGAGGGUAUUUUUGUCCAAAAAAUGGAAUUUAUUGUUUUUAAAAAAUAGAAGUGAUUCUUAUGAAUAUGUAAUUGUUUUAUCCUUUUAAAUUAAAUAAUCUUAUAAAUUAAGGUUGCUAAGGUUGUUACAUACAUGGUAUUAAAGUUGAAAUAACAAUUUCCAUGUUAUUUAAUAAUACUAGUAGGUUACUAUUUUUGUCAUAAAGGGGAAAAAUAGCAAUUUCUCAUUAGGGAUUCCAUUUAUUCUCAUUUUUUCUUCUAAAUUUACGAGUUGUGACAAAAAUUAUUUAGAAUUUUGCCCUCGUCAUUAAGGUUGAACUAAAGUCAUCACAAAGAAUUAGGCAAGGAUUUUAGAGCUUCUAGGUUCGAGGUCAUUAGAAAAUGAGGCUAUUUUCAAUUAUUCAUUGACGCUACAUAUUGGUUGUCACUACCACUUUGGUUUAUGGUUUAUGUUGUUCAUUAUGUCUUUUAGAUAAUAAUAUUAGUUUUAGAUUUUGUUUGAAUUGGUUUUUAACAAACAAAAAAUUCUUCUUAAAACUCGAUUAAAGUCUCUAUUAAGAAAUUUUGUUACAAGUACUAACUUAUGAGUUUAAAAGUGCUUAAUAUGAAAGUGAAUGUUACUUCCCCUAAAAACUCGAUUUUGGCUUCUAUAGAAAUUCAUAUUUAAUGAAUUAUAUUAAUACUAAUAUGUGAAUAUUAGUCUUGACUAUAACUUUGUGUUGGGGUUUGAAAGUUGAAGGUUUAACCCAUAAGUAGUGGACCUUCUUUUUUAGCAGAAAGACUAGUUUUUAAGCUAUAAUUAAAAUCAUAAAAUGGGCAAUAACUAAUGUGAUACCUAGACUAACAUGAAAAGAUUCUUGUUUGGCAACAAUUUUCUAUUCUUCAGAAUAAAAAAAACUAAGAAAACAUGUUUGACAACCAAAAACCGCUUUUUGUUUUCUGUUAUAAUAAAAUAAGGUGUUUUCAGAUAAAAUCUUUUGACUGUUUUAUGUUAUUUUCACUUAUUUUUUAAGGUUUGUCUUAAAAAAUAAUUAUAUCAACAUGUAGAAUGAUUAAAAAUAAAAUACUAGACAUAAAAAUUAUCUUUAAAACAUAUUUAACAACAUUAAAAACAUGUUAAAAAUAUUUUGGGUUUCCAAACAAACUUUUGUUCUACAAAUUAAACAUUAAAGAAAAAUUUUCAAAAACUAUCUUUCAGAAUUAUUUUUAAAAACAAUUAUCAAACAGGCCUUUAAACUCUGUUUUUUUAGGAUUGUUGUAUAGUGCAACUGAUUCGUGCCCACUUGGUGUAUCAGCUGAUUCAUGUCCAACUGGUGCUCCUUGAUUGAGGAAGUAAUCAACAAAAUUUAUAACCUAUUACACCAUGAACUAGGGUAGCAAAGACAAAGCUAUUAUAACAUAGUGGCUUUAGGAUCGUUCACUGGGAUGAGUUUUCACUCCACAAUUGAUAUUAAUUCAAAGAUGAAUUGGUGCUUUUUCAUUUCAAGGUUAGCUUUAAAAGAAAACAUAAAGAUGUUUGAAAAAGGAUUGGUUUUAAGCUAACCAAAAAUAAUAGUAACUGCUUUUAAUUACAAAGAAAAGUGUUUCUUGGAGUUUAGAUCACUAGCCUCAGGUUCCUUACACAAAAAGAGAGUUCCGGUCACUUGUUUCUUUUCCUCGCAUUAGAGAAUUAACAUAUAGUUAAUUCUCUAACGGGUGUGAUAAUGAUGCUUCCCAUUAAUGGGUUCAAACACUAAAUCCCUCUCACUGAUGCAUCUUGUAAUGGCUCGUGCCUCUCACCUAGCAUUUGCCAUUCAAGGUGAUCUUUAACCUUGGAUUACCCGUCAAAAGCUCGCAAGAGAUAACUAAUGGAUGUCUCCUUAGAGUCCAAAAGCUUACCAAGUGUUGGCUAUUCUAGAAAAUCCUACUUUCAAACCACCUCCCAAAGGCUCGCAAGAGAUAAACUAGUGCAUCUCAAUGGAUGGAGAUCACUUGCCUUACCAAGUGUUGGCCCAGGUGAUUUAAAGGAGUUUUAAGUUAUUUAAAAAGAUAAAAACCAUUAACGGGUCACACUUUCUCUUCAUUAAAAACUAAAACAACAAAACUUCCAAUUUAUGCAUGUGGAAACUUACCCGGUUUUCUUCACUCCAAAAGAUGAAGAGUCUAGCCUCUCAUCCUCUGAGGAAAAAUCCUCAGAGUUUGAUUGGCUAGAAAGAAAAAGUAAAUAAUAUACAAUACAAUCAAAACGAUAAGGUAAGGCAGAGCAAAGACUCUGUAUUUUACUUUGUUGCAAAACUGUACAAAGGAUGCGUCUCUGAGAACAAGCUCCCGAGAGAUUACACAUUUAUAAAGAAAAUUACAACUAUAUAUAAGAGGUUAUUCACCCUUUGUUCUUACUUAAAGACUAAGGAAUCCUAUGAUAGGUGGGUUACAAGGAGAGUUUGGGGAUUUAGACAUCAAAAUAUCUAAAGCAAAAUAUCUCAAAAUGUCGAUCGCAAAUAUCGGGAAGCUUCAGGAGAACACCGCGGCAUUGUGCAAAAUGGCUGUGAAACUCUCCGGAUAAGCGCUAUCAGAGGAUCCGGAUAUGUCUGACCGGAGAAGUUGAAACGCCUUCCUCUCCUAUCCGGCGUCAAGCGCCGGAUGCGAAAUAUCUGGAUGGAAUGUCAGCGGAGAAGAAUUCCAGAUGUGAGACAUCCGGGUGGAAUGUCGGUGGAGCAGAAUUCCGGAUGUGAGACAUCCGGGUGGAAUGUCGGUGGAGCAGAAUUCCGGAUGUGAGACAUCCGGGUGGAAUGUCGGCGGAGCAGAAUUCCGGAUGUGAGACAUCCGGGUGGAAUGUGCGAUGCCACACGUCGUAAGGGGGCCGUCUGCGUGUGCAAGGUGUAGGGACCCCUCCCCCUGAUGACACGGAGCGCGCAUCGCUAUCCGGAGCAACUCCAUCCGGAUUCUCUAAGAGGAUAUGUGGCGCGCUCCCCUAUUCGGACUCCCUCAGGGAGAAGCACACGACACUUGCGAUCAUCACACCCCGGACGAUAGCAUAUCCUAUCCGGAUAUGUUGUCCGGAUAUGAAACAUUGACUGAAGUGCACAAGCCUUGCUACAUCAUUCCAACAGCCUGCCACAGCCCACGUUCCGCCGCCCUCCGAUGGUGUGUCCGAACGCCCUGUCCGGACAUCUUUUGCCAUGGAUUCCAAAGAACUCUCCUCAAUCUCGGAUUGCUUUGGUGAUCAAAAAGCUAUCAAAACACCAAAACUUAACACAAUUUGAUUAGAAUUGAUUGCAAGGGUUCUUAAUAUGUUAAUUGGGUUAAAAGGUGAUAACUACUACUCAAAAGUGUUUAAAAGAGUUAAUUACAAGCUAUGAAAUAGCACUUUUUGAGUAGUAAUCACUCCCCCUAACCGACAUAUUGCUAGUCCCUUAGCAAUGAAGGAGAGAAAAAUAAAAAUAAACAGUACUAUAAUUUACAACAUCAUGCUAAUAAAAAAAAACAAUUUUCAAGUGGCAUGAUGAUCUAACUCUCACAUGGAACAUUAAAGAAAUAAAACUCAAACUUCAACAAGAGUUAUCAAAUAACUUGUCUAACCACAAUUCAUAAAGAGAAGGCAUUAUGCAAAUUUAAGCUUUAAAAGAGUUUCCACUCCCAAAGGGCCAAACCUUACUCCACAAAAAUCUAAGUGUUAUUUAUUAGCUUCCGAAUAUAGUAUGUUGAACUAAUCUCUCCCCCCAACCUAGUUCUUUUUUCAAAGCUUAGCAAACUGAUCAACCUCCAAUAGGCUAAGAACACACCUAUUUUUUUUCACAAUUUUUUUUUCAUUAUAGGAGUACAAGGCUUAAAGGUAUUCUUUUCUAAAUUGUCCAUGUAACGGGGGUCCAUCGAUGACUCCCAACCAAUUAAGGUUUAGGGCAUUAAGCUUUAAGGAUCUUUCAACUACUAACUCCUCGGAUUUUACCCCGGACUUUUGAGAGUGAAUUUUAAUACCCAAGCACCUACAAUAUGUUAAACUCCACCUAUUCACCCUUGUAACGAGCAUUGAGGUUGGUGACUCCCAACCAAUGAAGGCUUAGGGCACCAGGUUUUAAAGAUUUUCACCAUAUACCCCUUGAACCUUGCUCGGGUUUCAAGGCAAGUAAAACAUUUUUUUCUUGCUUUCUUUUUUUUCAAAGGCUCAUUGGCCUUUUAUAAGGUGUCCCAACACUAUUAAAUGAGGUCAAAGGUAAAAAGUCUAAAAUUUUCCUAAGUCAAGAGGGAAAUAGUUUUUCAUCUUAUAAUCGGAACCUAUUGUGCACAGUGUGUGAAUAGCUUAAAGUGGAAGAACUAAGGUUGAAUUCAAUAGAAGUUUCAACAAUUCAUCAACUUGAGUAAGCAUAAUACAAACUCUAAGUCAAGUAAAAAGACAAAAAUUCAAUUUCUCUCUAUUUCAUUUUGAGAAUUUUUCCUUAAUAACCAUGGAGAGUAGAAUAAAAACUUAAAUUUUUUUAAAAUUAAGCAAAAAGCAACUAAAUUACCAAAAUAACUUAGCAUUAAUAACAAAACUUCCUUCCUCAACUCUUCCCCUAACCAAGCUGAACAUUGUCCUCAAUGUGACAAAAGCGAUUGAAAAAUAGGGAGGAAGUGGUACCUCUUGAGUGACAUGGAGUCUGAGUCGUAUAGGAGAAACCACAUGUUUCAAAGAAAACAUAAGAGUUAGUGAGUAGAGGAAAUAGAAAAAUGCCAAGUUUAAACAAAAAUGAUGUCUAUAUGUGAUGUAUCAUCAGUAAUACAUCCAAUCCUAGAAUAUAAAACAUCAAAACAUGAAAUUGUCUAUACUAAUAUAAUAUGUAAAGACAAAAAGUAAAGAGAUGAUAAAGUAAUGGUAGGGUCCUGUGGAGCUGAUGCAUCUGUGGUGGUUUUUCAUUUCAAGGUUAGCUUUAAAAGAAAACAUAAUCUUUGGUGGAAAAGGUUGGUUUUAAGCUAACAAAAAAUAAUAACUGAUUUUAAUUACAAAGAAAAAUGUUUCUUGGAGUUUAGAUCACUAGGCUCAGGUUCCUCAUACAAAAAGGAAGUUCCGGUCACUUGUUUCUUUUCCUUGCAUUAGAGAAUUAACAUAUAGUUAAUUCUCUAACCGGUGUGGUACAGAUGCUUCCCCUUAAUGGGUUCAAACACUAAAUCCCUCUCACUGAUGCAUCUUGCAAUGAAUCAUACCUCUCACCUAGCACUUGCCAUUCAAGGUGAUCUUUAACCUUGGAUUACCCGUCAAAAGCUCGCAAGAGAUAACUAAUGGAUGUCUCUUUAGAGUCCAAAAGCUUACCAAGUGUUGGCUUCUUGAGUGGGUUGGAUUAGGACUUUAGCCUCUGUUAUGGUAGUCUCUUUAGAUGGCAUAGUCUCAUCUCCUCUUGAUUUUGAUCAUCCAAAAACCUAUGUUACGUUAAAACAAAUUAAAAUUAAAGUAUUGAAAUCAAAAUUAAGCAUUGAAAUCAAAAUUAAAACAAGUAAUAAGUAAAACAAAAAGAUAUGGACUAGCUAGUCUUUAAAAAGACUAAGUCCAUCAAAAAAAUUUGAUCCUGAUUUAGCUUGAUCGGAUCCCAUAUGAAGUUUGCAUCCCUCACUUGAGAUUUGGUUUGUAUGAUUUUGCCAUACAAAGCUUGGAGGAAAAGUGGAUGCAUGUGUUUCUUCAUCAUUUCUUCCUUGAUGACUAUCCUCUGUGGUUCUUCGUCUACAUUUAGAUCAUAGUCAUCUUUCUCUAUGCUUUUCCCCUUUUUCUUUCCUUUGAUUUCCUCCCUCUUUUCUUUCUCUGUUUCACUCUUUACCUUAUGCUCUAGCUUGGAUGUGGGCAAAUCAACCUCUUUACCACUCCUCAAAGUGAUUAACUUCCUUCUUCUGUGAAGAUUCUCCUUCCUUAGCCUCAAUUUCAUGGAUACUCUUUUCAUUUUGAUGAGGUUGAGAAGGAAAGUUUCCUUUUUCUUGCACUUGGUUGAGGUUGGCAAACCUUAAGAUUGAAUAUUGGAGAUUAUCUAUCUUUUGAGAUAGAUCACUUUGCACUUCAUCCAUCUUUUUGUUCAAUGAACUCUCUACACUGUCAAUUCUUUGACUGAGCUGAGCAUUGAUGGAUUUCUGAGCUCCAACAAAGUCUCCCACGAUUGCUAAGAUUCACCAUAACUAGUUCAAGGUUCGAGGCUUGCGGAAGUGCGUGAACAUGUUGCUUGUACUGAGGUGGCUGUGGUUUCCAAGAGAAAUUUGGAUGGUCCCUCCAAUUGGAAUUGUAGGUGUUGCAAUCACCUAACAUUUCCCUCACCGUUGGAAUGGUAGGACUCUCUUCUACCAAGUGCUCAUAAGAUAGACAAAUGGCACAAGGCAUAGCUUGCAAUGGUGUCUGAGAGAUGGCUUGCACUUCUUGCAUCUUUUUCAUUUCUAACUCUUACAAUCUCCUUGCCAUAGCUGCAAUCUUUGCCUUCAUGUCUAUGCCGUCAUUCAAAAUAUACAUCUCACCCUUAGCAUUAGGUUGAGACGUCAUUCUUCCCAUAUCUCUAGCAUUUGGUUCAUUCCAUCCUCUUGAAACUUCAGCCACAUAACUCAUGAAGUUCAUGGCUUCCUCUGCUAUCUCGUAUUCAAUAUGGCAUGCACAACUAGCAAUUUGUGAAUUAAAAACAGAGAAAACAAAAGAAAAUAAAAAAAAAAAUUCUAAAGAAAAAAAUAAAAUUAUUAAGAUUAACUAAAAACUAAAUAAAAACUAUACUAAAAUAUGAACAAAGAAAGAUAAACAAAUAAAAAGAGUUAGUAAAAGGAAAAGAAAAAGUCACCAAACUUAUGAUGAAGAUCACAAGUACUCUGAAAAGGUCAUAUCAAUGUAAAGUGGCACCAUCCCCUGCAACGAUGCCAUUUGAUUCGUGCCCACUUGGUGUAUCAGCUGAUUCAUGUCCAGCUGGUGCUCAUUGAUUGAGGGAGUAAUCAACAAAAUUUAUAACCUAUUACACCAUGAACUAGGGUAGCAAAGACAAAGCUACUAUAACAUAGUAGCUCUAGGAUUGUUCACUGGGAUGAGUUUUCACUCCACAAUUGAUAUUAAUUCAAAGAUGAAUUGGUGCCUUUCCAUUUCAAGGUUAGCUUUAAAAGAAAACAUAAAGAUGUUUGAAAAAGGAUUGGUUUUAAGCUAACCAAAAAUAAUAGUAACUGAUUUUAAUUACAAAGAAAAGUGUUUCUUGGAGUUUAGAUCACUAGCCUCAGGUUCCUUACACAAAAAGAGAGUUCCGGUCACUUGUUUCUUUUCCUCGCAUUAGAGAAUUAACAUAUAGUUAAUUCUCUAACCGGUGUGGUACAGAUGCUUCCCAUUAAUGGGUUCAAACACUAAAUCCCUCUCACUGAUGCAUCUUGUAAUGGCUCGUGCCUCUCACCUAGCAUUUGCCAUUCAAGGUGAUCUUUAACCUUGGAUUACCCGUCAAAAGCUCGCAAGAGAUAACUAAUGGAUGUCUCCUUAUAGUCCAAAAGCUUACCAAGUGUUGGCUAUUCUAGAAAAUCCUACCUUCAAACCACCUCCCAAAGGCUCGCAAGAGAUAAACUAGUGCAUCUCAAUGGAUGGAGAUCACUUGCCUUACCAAGUGUUGGCCCAGGUGAUUUAAAGGAGUUUUAAGUUAACUAAAAAGAUAAAAACCAUUAACGGGUCACACUUUCUCUUCAUUAAAAACUAAAACAACAAAACUUCCAAUUUAUGCAUGUGGAAACUUACCCGGUUUUCUUCACUCCAACAGAUGAAGAGUCUAGCCUCUCAUCAUCUGAGGAAAAAUCCUCAGAGUUUGAUUGACUAGAAAGAAAAAGUAAAUAAUAUACAAUACAAUCAAAAUGAUAAGGUAAGGCAGAGCAAAGACUCUGUAUUUUACUUUGUUGCAAAACUGUACAAAGGAUGCGUCUCUGAGAACAAGCUCCCGAGAGAUUACACAUUUAUAAAGAAAAUUACAACUAUAUAUAAGAGGUUAUUCACCCUUUGUUCUUACUUAAAGACUAAGGAAUCCUAUGAUAGGUGGGUUACAAGGAGAGUUUGGGGAUUUAGACAUCAAAAUAUCUAAAGCAAAAUAUCUCAAAAUGUCGAUCGCAAAUAUCGGGAAGCUUCAGGAGAACACCGCGGCACUGUGCAAAAUGGCUGUGAAACUCUCCGGAUAAGCGCUAUCAGAGGAUCCGGAUAUGUCUGACCGGAGAAGUUGAAACGCCCUCCUCUCCCAUCCGGCGUCAAGCGCCGGAUGCGAAAUAUCCGGAUGGAAUGUUGGCGGAGAAGAAUUCCGGAUGUGAGACAUCCGGGUGGAAUGUCAGCGGAGCAGAAUUCCGGAUGUGAGACAUCCGGGUGGAAUGUGCGAUGCCACACGUCGCAAGGGGGCCGUCUGCGUGUGCAAGGUGUAGGGACCCCUCCCUUUGAUGACAUGGAGCGCGCAUCGCUAUCCGGAGCAACUCCAUCCAGAUUCUCUAAGAGGAUAUGUGGCGCGCUCCCCUAUCUGGACUCCCUCAGGGAGAAGCACACGGCACUCGCGAUCAUCACACCCCGGACGAUAGCAUAUCCUAUCCGGAUAUGUUGUCCGGAUAUGAAACAUUGACUAAAGUGCACAAGCCUUGCUACGUCAUUCCAAUAGCCUGCCACAGCCCACGUUCCGCCGCCCUCCGAUGGUGUGUCCGGACGCCCUGUCCGGACAUCUUUUGCCAUGGAUUCCAAAGAACUCUCCUCAAUCUUGGAUUGCUUUGGUGAUCAAAAAGCUAUCAAAACACCAAAACUUAACACAAUUUGAUUAGAAUUGAUUGCAAGGGUCCUUAAUAUGUUAAUUGGGUUAAAAGGUGAUAACUACUACUCAAAAGUGUUUAAAAGAGUUAAUUACAAGCUAUGAAAUAACACUUUUUGAGUAGUAAUCAGCAAUAAUUAGAGGAAAUGAGAGAAGUUUUCAAAGAGAAAAAAAAAAGGGUUAUGUAAAAAAGCAAAAAGGAGAGUUUGUUCUCAAAGUUGUAUCUUUUUGGGUUGUCUUUCCUUGUAUAUUGUUGACUUAAAUGUCAAGGUUACUCUCCAUCAUGUUUUGAAGACUUAUAUGGAGAGAUUUCUCCAACUCUUAUAAGCUUGACAACAUGCUUGUUGUGUGUGUGUGUGUGUGUUUUAAAUUUCUUCUUUAAUAUUUGUAAUACCAUAAGUUUCGAGUUAAAACACUAUAUAGAUCAUUGUAUUCCCAUUUUUUAUUAAUAGAAGAAAGUUACUUUGUGAUUUUUUUUUACCUCAUUUAGGAAGGAGUUUUCAAUGAUAUAUUAGGUAUUUUUUUGGUUUUCUAUCAUUGUCAUUGUCUUAUUUGAAUGUUGUAGCAAGUUGGUUGAAGAGUAUUUAUAAUGAACUAGAUUUGGGAUUCCAGGUUAGCUUUGCAAACUAGGUUGGGCAUUUAAUUUAAUCAUGUAUACUAGACCAAAGGUUGUGUGUGUAUCAUAAUAUAUAAUUAGGGAGUCUAGUUAUAUGACUCAAUUCAAUAGGGCGUUGAGCUACAUUAUCUAACUUGAACUAGUGUCAAGUUUGACAAAAAAUAACUUUUUUUUUUUUUUUUUGUUGGUUUUGUUCUGUUAACCUUAUCAUUUUAACUUCUAACUUGAGCUAAAAAUAAUGUUAUUCCAAAUAGUGUCUUAUCUACUAAAGUAACGGAUUGUUUUGGGGUUAAAAGUUUAAUUGUUAAUAAAUUUGAUGAUGUUUUAUUGUACAUAUAUAUUUUUAAACAUCUUUGAAUGCUAUAAGUCAAAAGAAUGAGUGUAUUUUUGUUGAUGAAAUCAAUGUUUUAGUGCAUUAAUGUUUUUAAAUAUUUUUAAUAUAGAUUAUUAUAAUGCUCAUAAAUGACCACAUGAAUGAAGUUUUUACUAACUAGAGGAACAUUUUCAGUUGAUAAGACCAGUUUAUUUAAUAGGUCACAUAGAGGCAUAUGUUCUUACAACAUCAUAAUGAACAAUAGGUAUUAAGGUUAUGUAGUGUUGUAUGGUUGCAAAAAAGUUGGUGAUCAUUUCAUUAACUCAAUCACAACCAAUUGGAUUCAUUAUAAGAAAAAUCGAUCAAUAAUGACACUUUUUACCCGUCAAGAAAGACAAACAAUGUCAAGAAAGACAAACAAUGACACUUCUCCAAAGUGUCAUAUCUUAGCUUGUCAUAAUAAGUUUCUACAAACAGUUACACUUCUUAAAAGCGCCAUGAAAUCGAGUGUCAUUGUAAAGAGUGUUUAGCGAUGUUGACACUUUUAAAAACGUCAUUGUAAAUAUGGAACAAAUAAUGAUGUUUUUUAGAAGCAUUGAGGUGUACCAAUUUGCCAAUGUUAUUGUUGAUUUUGUAAAUAAUGACACUUACAAAAACUGUUAUUGUUGAAGAUGAAAUAACCUUGACGCUUUUUGGAAGUAUCAUUGUUCACCUUUUCCAUUGUUGAUUGCUCUAAACCUUGACACUAGUGGAAGUGCCAAGGAUUGUGACAAUCUAAAAUUAGCUUCACCUAUUGCUCUUUUAUUUUAAUUGGCAUUUGAUAUUGAAAUUACUCAAAUAUAAAGAAAAUAACAAUUAUUUAUCCAUCCAACAACUAUCCAAUAAUUAAAUAAUAUUAAAGUAAUUAUUAUUUAUCUAUCCCAUAAAUGAAGUGCCAAGAGUAAUAAAUUUAUAAUAUAAAAGAGAAAUCACAUUGCAUAUUGUAUAUAUGAGUAACACAAGAAGUCUGGAAAAAAAAAAAAAAACAUAUCCGUAGCUAAAACAAUAACUUCCUUUGACAUUUUUUUUAAAUGUCACCUAAUUGUGCCUUCAUCUUUAAUGGAAGUUGUUCAUUUCUUGAAUUUUCGUCAUAGCUAGAGAUCAUCUUUCUUUGUGCUAAAAUGCAAUGGUGACAUUCCUUCCCUUUUAAAUUUUCUCACUUCCUUAGGCUUAGUGAUUUCCUAAUCAAUUAAUACAACAAUGUUCCAUAUAAGUUCAUGUUAUGAAAAGGUUAUUUGAAAAAAAAAACAUGGAAAUUAAUGAUAUUAUCUUUCAUAAGGUAUAAUAAGUCAUUUUUUUCUUCAAUUUGCUUCAAAUUGAGGUGCUCUUAGAUAAAAUUCAUCUCAACUAUAAGCUAAACUAGCCCAUAACAUAUUAUUAAUUGAUUGAAAACAAAAAAAUAAAAAUAAAAUAAAAUCAAGUGAGAAUUUGAGUUAGAAUCUAAGGUGUGUAGGAGUCAUUGUAAUUCUAAUUUGUGAAAUCAUUUUUAAGAUGUAACAAUAAUUAUAUGAAGUCACUUAGACUUCGAAUUAUCCAAAUUUGUAACAUAGAUAUUAUAUAUAACCAAAAUGUGUAUAGUAUAUUUAAUUAACUAAAUGUAAGAUAUGCUAUUCCAUAUAAGCUAGACCUAAGGCAUAUCUUUGUUCAAUAUUCGAUCUUGUGAAUUAAAUAUACUCCAUAAUAGUCCUUCACCUACAAUAUAUUUUCAGUAACUAUGAAGGAAAAUUGGAAUCGAUUAUUCCCAUGAAAUGGGUAAUCAAGAUCGGUGCAAACAAGUCAACUACAAAUAGCUAGUUAAACAAUUAACUUGGACUUCAACUUUCAAUUUCAACAACAAUAAAAUUAAAUCAAAUACCCAAAGAUCAUAUACAACAAACAAAAUGGUACACCACACUGGUGAACAAUUGCACCAUACUUUCUCCAAAUUUCAAACACAAACCCUAAUAAUAAACUUUAAUGGGUAUAAAUGUGAGAGAAAAAAAAAUCAUCAAUUUGCAAUUAAAAAAAUUCAAUUUUAAUACCAAUAAAAUAAACACAACACACCAAUUUUAUACAAAUGAAAUUCAAUAACAAUGCCUAUGAAUUCCAAACUUGAAUAAUUCUUAUGAUUUUGUGAAAGGUUAUCUCUCAUCUUUGCUAUUUGUGAAGGCAAAGGUGAGGGAUAGUCUUUCCAAUAGUGUAAGCUUGUCUUUGCCUUGAUGAUGAAAUUUCAACCCUAUCAUGAUGAACAUUAGAGAAUUAAAGGGUGGAAAUGUAGAAGAACCUAUUAAGCUUAUCAGACAAAGGCACCAUGAAGCAAUUGAUAUAAUUAGGAAAUGAAAAAUAUAUGCUACCUUUUCAUCGAGAUUGAUCUCAAUGCAGGAGCAGAUUGGCUUGGUGGAACUACGCAAUACACUAUCAACAACCAAAUAGUUAAUACCACCCUCAUUAAAAUUGUUGAUAACCCAACAAAUGUCUAACUCCUUGGUAUGCUAAUCCCUUGUGAUCCUCAUCAUAGUCAUCGAAAUCUACUUCUCAACAUCCAUGAUGGUUAGGAAGAUAGGAUUGGCGUUUGUAGAGGAAUUUUCCCAAUUGACAAUGUCAAUCUUUUUUAUAUAUACCUUCCCUGGUCAAUCUAUUGGUACUUUCCACACUAGCAAGAUUCAUUGCUUAGUAAUUUCUAAUUAACAGAAACAAGUCUAAACUCUCUCUCUAUAUAUAUAUUUAAGUUCCCACAUCUAAGAUGCAUUAAUACAUUUUCAUGAUGUCAUUCUCACUUUAUGGUGCAGUUGUAGAUUUCGUCAAUGCACUAAUAAGGAGUGGAUUUUGGGAGUUGGGGUUGACACUAUGGGAAAGAAGCUUGUGAACUCAAAGAAAGGACCCCAAAGUUUUGAGUAGUCCAAGAUGAGCCUUGACAAACACCUUGAGUAUGGUAGCAUGUUUGUCAAAAAGCAAGAGAAUGUGAAGAGAUAUCAUGCAUGCAUGGUCUGACACACCAAACUAAGCCUUACUAUGAACCAUAAUGACAUUUCUCAAGAACAAAAUCUAAGUAUGUCAUUGGGUUUUGUAGUUUUAGUGCCAACAUCAAACUAAUCAGCUAAUUUAUGACUUUCAAUUCAAGAUGUCACAUCAAUUAUCUCUUAAAUUUCAAGAACAAAAUCUAAGUAUGUAAUAAGGUCUUGUAGUUUUAGGGCCAACAUCAAACUAAUGAGCUAAUUUAUGAUUUUCAAUUUAGAAUGUCACAUCAAUUAUUUCUUAAAUAAAUUUUAUUAUACCCAUUGUUACUCAUAUAUAAUAUAUAUACUAAAAGGGAGACUAUUUUUUUUUUCAUUAAAAAAAAAGUCUAACAAAUAUAAGAAUGGAAUCUUUUAAAUUAUUUUAUUCAAAAAUAAAUUGUAGAAUAAAAAAAAAUUAUUAAGGUCCUAUUUGUUUAGAUGAUUUUCUAUUUCCAUUAUGAAAGAAAACAAAAAUCAAACUAAAAACAAGUUAAAGGUUUUACCUCUAUCUGCAGCCAUAGUGUUGCCCAUAACUUGCUCUUUAUGAUAAAAAAAACAUUGUCCAUAGUUGCUACUUCGAGCUCUUUAGGACAAACAACUAUAUUUUCUAAUCAAUGAAUUGUGAGAAUUUAUACCAUAUGCUAAAAUGGGAAGUCUCAAGUUUCUUGGUUUUGAAACAAAGUUGGGCCAUUUAUGGUCAAUUAGCCAUGAUAGAGAGUCAGCUGGAUGACACAUUUUGUCAUCUAAAUCUCUUCCUUAGAUAUGCCAUAUGAGGUCUUUUACGAUUUUUGAUGAUUGAAACCUUCUUCUAAAUCUUGGAAUUAGAGGAAAAUACCACAUUACUUUCCCAGGAGUUCCUGUCAUUUUUUUAGUUCCUAUAUUAUCUACCUUUCACCUUGAAGUUCCAUAGGUAGGACAUGAAAAUGCAUCUUUCAACUUAUUCUUGUAAAGUAUACAAUCAUGGGGCAUGCGUGUAUUUUUUUUCAUAUUCCAUUCCUAAUGUAUUCAAUGUCAUUUUUGCCUUAUACAUAGACAAGGGUAACUCAUUAUUUAGAGGCAACAUAUAUCUAAGCAUUUUUAAAAGCUCUGAAAAUAUUUUAUCAAACCACUCAUAGUGUGUUUUCAAGUUGUAUAAUUUAACCAAUGCAAACAAUUGUGUGAAUUUUCUACAACUAGGAUAUAAAAGGUUUUUCAACAAUUUGAAGUAAUCUUUCAAGCAAUUUUAAGUCAUUUUGACAUUCAACUUGUACAACUUCAACCAUUUCUACUGUACUAUCUACAUCAUUAAAUUGAACCAUAUUAUAAUGUUCUACCCUUCUAGUUGGUGGUUCACUUGGAGUUGCUUCCCCAUGCCAAUACCAUAUAUGGUAAUUUUGAUUAAUUCUAUAGAAAAACAUAUGCUCUCUAAUCUUUUGAGGAAAUUUUUGAGGAGUAUGAAAUAUCAUAUUACCACUCUACAAGCAUGGACAUUUAAUGGAGUUUUUAUAUGCAAAAUUUUAUAUUGCAAAUGUGAUAAAAAUGUUCUACCCCAUCCUCAUACUCCUUUAAUCCUCUAUCCUUUGAAAUCCACAAACGAUCCAUUUUUUAAGAACAAACUUUCAAUAGUGAUCAAACUUCAAAUUGAAGAAAAUAACAACAUUUUCUAUGCUAUUUGUUUAACAACCUUUUUUUUUUGUUCAAAUAAUAAUCAAGAAAAUGUAGUUCAACAUUUGUUUAAGAUGCCAAAUUUAAAAGAAAAAGAGUAAGUAUUGUUUUAACCAUUUUGAUCUAUGAACAUAGAUCUACACUUUUGAAAUAUCACGCUAAUUAUUAACAUUUUUAAAAAUGCCAAGGAAAAAACAAGGUCAUGGUAUAUCUUAUUUGUAGUAGUAACUAAUAAGUUAUAAAUGUUGUUGACCAUGAAUACUUGCAUUAAAAUGGAUGUAUAACCUCAAUAAAACUAGUGCAUAUUAAUAUUAUUAUAUUGGGUUUGUCCUUGACCUUUGCAUCAAACAUUGUCUAUAUCAAUUUUCUCAAUAAACUCCUUAAGCAACAUAAAGAAAAUCAUUUGAGCAUGUCAAAUUUUGAUGCAUGUUUUAUGCAUUCUAACAUCUCCAACAUCCUAAAUUCGGUGGUAGUUCCUAUCCCAUAUAGAAAUACAUAAUCUCUAUGUGUCAAUGACCAAUGUGGUCAAUUUCAUUUUAAAGAAAUUUUAGUAGAAUUUCCCUAUAGUUCUCUAAGUACGUAAAAUGGACAAGGCAUACUAUGCAACUUUGUCCAAAUAUGCACCCAAAGAAUAAAAGGAAAGACUACCAAAAUUUCUAAAAAUUGAAUUAAGAACAAACAAUUAACUUCAUAGAUAUUAUGUUUUCCUACACUGUCUAAUUAGACAAUUCAAGUAUCAUUUGCAGGAAAAAGUUCUUUAUCACAUGAUAAACAAUUUAAAGUUGUCAACUUGAAACUAGCCUAGAUAAAACCAUUUUCACUUUUUGAUAACUUAAAUCUCUUUAGUAUGUAAUAAGAGAAACUUUUGUCUCACAAUGAUACCAAUGAUGCCAAUGAUACUUGAAUUGUUUCAUGCAUGCAUAGUUUAUUAAAAUUAAAACACAAUUACUUAUUGAAAUAUUAUAACAAAGAAACAUAAAUCUCAUUAUAUCAUGUUUAUCUCAAAUAUAUAAUGUUAGGAUAAAGCCCUUAAAAGCAUGACAUGAUGUAAUAAAUUUGGAAUUCAUUAAUUAUUAAAUGAUGUUCCAGUUUCACUUUUAUCUAUUCUUAUUCCAUAUAUUAUACUUUAUAAGCAUUCUUGCCUGCAUCUUUUGCAGUGUACGUGACUUAGGUGCAUUAGGAGUUGCACAGAAGAUCUAGGUCACGAGUUCCUUGCAAAUAGAUGACUUGUUCACAACUGGUUCAUGGGUCUAGGCAACCCAUUAAAGGUUGUAGUGCACUACCUCCUAAUUGGAGGGAUAACUGGUCGUGGUUAUCAGGAUGGGUUUCCCAUGGUGAGUGCACUAGUGUGUAUGGUUACACAUUGGACAAGACCUAUGGUGAGUCAUGACUUAAGGUUAUUAUUGAGUCAUGACCUCACCAAGCUGUUUCAUUGUGUUGUAUAUCAACCUUGAGAGAAUAUUGAGCUUAUGCUAAAGUUGGCAAUGACUUUGACAUACAGGUGAAAUCGUAAGCUGAUCAUAUAUUCUGUAUGGAUUGGGUCAUUAUUGAUAGAAGCUGGUAGUAAUAGGUAUUUUCAAUAGAGACACCAUGAUAUCUCUUGGGAUUGAGACAGUGUGUCCCCUUGGGUGAUCUUAAGGAGGUGUGUUCAUGGAAACUAUAGUCAUGUAGUUCAUUAAAUGGAACUUGACAUAGGCUCUUUGAGAGCUAAGAUAUGUCAAUUGAACAAAAAAGAGGAGGUAGAGGUAGUCUUGAAAGGCUAAUAGCUUUCACCUUAUUAAAUUAUGAACAUUAGUUCAUAGAGAGACUAAACACAAUGGAUAGCAGGUCACGGGCCUGAUCACUUGGUGUCUCGUUGUUAUUUACAUAGGAUAUUGGAGUUUAGUUGAUUCUCUAUAGUGUGAUGUUGAAUCAACUUUAGAAUUGGAUUUUGAGGGAGUCAAUAUUUCUAUGGGUCCCAAUGGUCUCCGCUUUGAACUCAUAUACCUUGUUGGCAUAGGUUAUGAGGGUUGAAUUGGCUCUAAGUUCACUUUUGUGCAUAAGGGCAUUUUGAUAAUUACGCAAGGUUGUAUAGGGAUAAGUGAACAAGGUCUCUUGAUUGGGCUAAUUGAUUUAUUAGUAGGCCUUAUUGGGUUAAUUAAUCAGUUAGAACUCAUUUUGGGUUAUAUUAAGUGACCCAAGCCUGUAUGGGCUCAAGUCACUUAAGCCCACUUAGGAACCCUAUAAAUACCCUAUAGAGGUUAGGGUUUCCAUAGCUUUUAUCUUACACCAUCCAGAGAGAUAGAGAACUAUAGCCUCCACCCUCAUUUCCUCCCUAUUAGAAGUUUGUCAAGAUCAAGGUUUGAGUCAUCGGGCGGAAGACUUUGGGAACAUUCGAAUUUGAGGUAUAGUUUUCGUUAGCACUUUCUAGAUCCUUAUAAAGUAUAAAAAAGUUAAUUUUUUUGUUGUGCAUAGAAUUUAGAAAAAGCCUAGGAUGGUUAUGCAUAUUCCUAACCUGAUCCGGACUUAGGAAACAGAAAGAUUCAGGUUUUUUAUAUCAUAUAACAUUUAACAUGGAGGCAUAAGAACCUUUUUCACAAGUUAGAGUAAUGUUUUCUAGAAAAUAAAAGAUAUAUUUCUACCACUUACAAUGGAAAGUCACAGGUUUGAAUUAGUGACAUGGAGAGACACUAACAUAAUAUUUUCACUCAAAUAUAUUGCAACAAUUCAUGUAAUUACUAGCAUUUUUCCAAUGCUCAUUUCAUUCAAAUAAUCCAACUCAUCAAUGUCCACCAUAAGUAUGAGAAAUGAGGAGAUACAACCCAAAAAAAAUAUUCUAUACUUCACUAUGUCAUCUUCAAACAUCCUUAAAAUAAUGUCAAUCUCAGAUCCUUAAUUCCUUAUUAUCUAUUCACUAAAUAGAAUCAAAAGCCCAUAAAUCCAAACAAAUGAAAAACACAUGGAGAUUGGUCAAAGCAUGAGUGGUUUAUAAGUCGGAAAAAGUUAAGAAAGUUAAAAAGAUAUUAUCCUAGCAAUAACAAAAUUAGCUCUCACCACAUCAGUAAGCUACUCAUUUAGCAUAAUUUAUUAACAAUAUCUAUGAAAAGAAUAUAUAAGAACAAUUCUACAAUUGGUAACUAUUGAAUAAAACAAUUUAAGAGAGAUGGAUAGAUGAAACACAGUUGAAAUUCAUUUCCUCAUGACUUAUAGGAAAAAAAAAGAAGUGAAAACUCAAAGUUGGUAAUUGAACAUGAGCUAAAGAGAGUUUUGAGACACAACUAGAGAAGAUGAAUAUGAGAUAUUGUGAAAUUCUAGUUUUAGAUCUUACACAGAUGCAAAAAUGUUUAAAUUAAAGAAGACAAGUGAUGUCUUUUGGUUUGUGAGAGGUGCAUGUUCCACUUAUAGUUAUGUCAGAGACUAUAGGGCAAACAAUUAGAUAAAAACUACGAUUAAUCACUAAAAAAAAUUAAAACUACAAAGUGCAUAUGUAAUUGGGGAUGAGAGAAAGUAAAAGUUGACACAAUUGAUAACUAUAACAAUGACCAAGCCAAAUGUUUACAAUAUUGAAAAGAAUAUAUUUAAGGCAUUUGAGAGCACUAGCCAAAACAUGUUUGCCUCAAUCAAGAGGGAUAAGAAUGAAAACAAAAAAUUGACAGAGAAAUUUGAGUAAACAAACAAGUAAAAAUAUGGUGCAUUUGUACACUUUCUAACCACUUUGCCAUGCAUAAUUUGCAUUCUUGGCAUAACACAAUUGAUCAAUUUAAUAAGGAUUGCAAAUAUGUCCCAUCAUAAAAAUUUCAUGCUUCAAAACUUCAUGUUUGGCUAGGGGACUUGGAGCUCGGUUUCUCUAAAAUAAACUAAUCUUAUCCUUUCAAAUUUAGUUUAUGCUUAUGAUUGGAUGGUAAGGUAUCCAAAGUAUAAAAUUUAUGGGCCACUUAAAUUUGAGGUGAUGUGCACAAACCAAAAAUAUGUAAUAAAAAGCUUGUGGAUCAAUAUAAGGGUGCUCACUUGGUGGUCUUACUCCUAAAAGGAUUCAUUGAAGAGGUAAAAAGAGGAGUAUGAUUUGUACUAACAUAUAAGAAGAUACAGUGCAACAUAGAAAUCAAAAGAGCUUUGUUGAACUAUAAUUUUUGAAAUACUAAGCAGAAGAAAAUUUAAUAGGAAAGUUGGAAACAAAUUAUUUUAAUAGUUAAUACGUAAAGGAUUCUUUAAUUAACUAUAACCAUAUGAAGUUAUUGAAUAGACACAUCUAGUUGCAAACAAAAAAAGAAAAAAAAAAUAGAAAAAGAAGCUAACAAUUAUUUAACAAACUAACAAUUCUUUACUUAACUUGUAACCAUACUGCAAGAUACCCAAAUAUUCUAAUACUCACCCUGAAAAUGGAGAAUGAAUGUUGUGAAUUCCCAUUUUACUAAGAAGAAAAAGAAAUUGAGGUGAAGAAAAAGGUUUGGUCAACAAGUCCCCCACUUGAUGUUUAGAUGAAAUAUGUAGUGUCUUCAAGCUUCCAUUUUGCAAUUUCUUUCUAACCAAGUGAUAAUCGAUCUCAAUGUGCUUAGUGUGAUUGUGAAAAAUUGGAUUAGCUACAAUAUAAAGAGUUGCUUGAUUGUUGCAAAAUAGCAAGGCAGGCUUAGGACGAGAUACAUGCAAAUCUCUAAAUAAAGAAAGUAACCACAUCAAUUCACAUGUUGCAUUUGCCAUAAAUCUGUCCUCAACUUCAACAAAAGAUCUUGAAACUGUAUGCUGCCUUUUUAUUUCUGGGAAAUUAAGGAAUCACUAAUAAAUAAAUAAAAAAAAUGCAAAACCCACUAAUAGACCACAAAAGUUGCCCAAUUUAAAUCAACAAACCCUUUCAACUUUAUUAAUGAAAAAAAAAAAAAAAACCUUGUCCUACAUAACUUUCAAGCAUGGUUUGAAAUGUUGCAAAAUUUUGGUGAAAUAUUGUCGAUAUUUUGCUUAACAGGGAGAGCUAACACGAUAUUCCACAUUGAAAGUCGAUUGUUGAAAUAUUGGGGAGAGUCAACACGAUAUUCCACACUGAAAUGUUGCAAAAUUUUGGUGAAAUAUUGUCGAUAUUUUGCUUAUCAGGGGGAGCUAACAUGACAUUCCACACUAAAAGUCGAUCGUCAAAGUAUCGGGGAAAGUUGACAUGAUAUUGGACACCGAAAGUCAAUCGACUUUAUCGAAAAGAUGUUGAUAUUUGAGUAAAUUCCUUCAAAUUUUUUUCUAUUGCAGCCAAGGGGAUUCAAACCCAGGCCAAAAGGCUUGGGUGAAACUUGGCUACUAUUGGGCCAAGUCCACAUUUGUAAAUAUAUGUUCACAAUAAAUAUGUUAAAAUUCAUCAUUAAAAGAAUAAAUAAAUAAAUUCUAAUUAUUUUAUUUAAAAUUUUAUUUAAUUAAUUAAUAAAAGUAUAAAACCAUCAUUAUAAUUUUCUUAACAAGUUUUUAUUUUUAUUUUUAUUUUUUAUAUCAUUUAUAUGACAAUUAUAUAUAUAAAAAAUAUAAAUAUCAAAAAAAUUAUAUAUGCAUCAUAAUUUAUUUUACAUUGUUGAAUGUAUUUGAAUUAAAUAAAUUAUAGUUUUAAUAUUAAAUGUAUCAUCAUUUAUAUCAUUAAUCUUAUUUUUAAAAAUUACUAUCACUUCACUUUUAUUUUUUUUAUGUUUAUCCUUUUAAUUUUAUUUAAUUUUAAAUGUUUUUAUUUUAAAAAUAUAAAUUUAUUCAAAAAAUUACUAAAAUUAAAAAAAAAAAUUGAAGUUCUAAUAUUUUAAUGAAUUUGAUAAGAUAAAUAAUAAAUUAUUAAGACUGAUAUAUCCCUCGAUAUUUUUCUCAUUGACCAUACUUAUGUCAAUUCCACUUACAAUAACUUUAACAUAUGUAUUCUUGCUUAUUUUAUCAUUUUUUUUAGUGUUUUCCAAACAUUUCCAUGAAUUUUGAAUAAUUUUUGUUUCACCAAUAUUUUUGUCAAAAAUCCACCGAUAUUUUACCAAUAUUUCCAAUAUAUCCAUAAAAUUCAAAUAUCGAUAUAUCCGUGUUUACCAAUAUUUCAAACCAUGCUUUCAAGUACUAAAGCACAUGUUGUAUUGCCCACAUAUGAGGAACUCUGGGCUUUGCAAGAAAUUGAUUGAAUUUAUGUAUUGAAAAUGAUAAAUCUGGGUUUGCUAUGAUUAGAUAAAGCAAUUUGCCUAUCAUUCUUCUAUAAAAUAAAAAAUCUCCUAUCAUAUCACCUUUGUCUUGUGUGAGCUUCACAUUUGGAUUUAUAAGUGUUUUCCUUGUUUUACAACCAACAUAGCCUACAUCUGAUAGUAAUUGUAAGGCAUAAUGGUUCUAACUAAGGGAAAUUCCCUUAUUAGACCUCACCACCUCAAGGCCCUAGAAGUAUUUAAGCUUUCCUAAGUCUUUGAGCUUAAAACGACUAUUAAGUAGAACUUUUAAUUUCUCAACUUGCUCAUCACUAUUACUAACAAUGACAAUGUCAUCCACAUAAACUAAUAGAGCAAUGAAGUGAGUACUGACAACUUUGACAAAAAAAGAGUGAUUUGCAUUAGAAUGUUUAAAAACCUUCAACAAGUAAGAAAUUGGAGACUUUGGAAAACCAUUGUCGUGAUGCUUGUUUCAAGCCAUAUAAGGACUUCUGAAUUUUGUAAACAGAGUGUGAGGAUAAUGAUUUUCCUUAACGAUGAUAACUAGGAGGCAUAGUCAUAUAAACUUCCUUAAAAAGAUCACCAUGUAAGAACACAUUAUUGACAUCCAACUAAGGAAGGCUCCAACCAUUAAUGGUAGCCAAAGCAAGCAAAACCUUAACAGUAACCAAUUUGACAACAUGAGAGAAGGUACCUAGAUAGUCUAUGCCCUCUUGUUGUGUGCAACCUUUAGCUACAAGGCGAGCUUUGUAUUCUUCAAUAGUUCCAUCAACUCUAUACUUAUUUUUGUACACCCAUUUGCACCUAAUAGCCUGUUUUCCUUGUGGCAAAGUAGUUAAAGACCAAGUGUCAUUUUGUUCAAGAGCCCCUAACUCAGCAAACAUCGCAUCUUGCCAAUCUAGAAUAGUAGCAGCCUUGAAGUAUGUGGUGGGUUCAAAAUUAGAGGAAAUAACACAAACUAUUUUUUAAUUUAUUUUAUUUAUUUAUUUUAUGAAUUUGACCAUUUUGUGUAAUCAAGGACAUGUGUGAGAGGAUGUGAGGUAGAAGAUGUGCUGUGGGAACAACAAUAGUAGUAGUAAUAUACUAGAUAAGAAGGAGGCCUACGGACACGAUUAUGAUGAGAAUGAGAACUUGUUUGACUUGGUAUGGUAGCUAUGAAUUCUUGGUCAUGCAUUUCGGGUUGAUUAAUGCCCUUGCCACUUUCUACAACCUCAUAAACAACAUCUUAUUUGACUUCCUAGACUCGUUUGUGGUGUAUUAUUUGGACGAUAUAGUGAUCUACAACUACACUCUACAAGAUCACUUGGUCCACCUUAGGAAGGUAUUGCAAAGACUAAGGUGGAACCAGUUGUAUGUAAAAGGGCCUUGACAUUUGGUUAGUGUGCUAAGUCAACAAUACAACAUGACCAAAGAAAACCUUAAGACGUUAAAUAAUUAAAAAAUCUACAAAGAAAGAUGUAUAAAAUAGGUUAACAUGAAAACAAGAAGAGAUUAUAUUUGAGUAGAAGUUAAUGUCAAGACAUAUAUGUGCAAAUAGUAGGGUACCAAAACACUUGGAGCAAAAGGUUGUAAGGAAGAGAAAUCUCCAUGACUUGCUCAUUUAUCAUUUUCUUUCUUUGGAAGUUAGAGUGGUUGCGAUUAGAACUAGAGGACGCUAACCUAAUAAAUGGUAAAACUAAGAGUCAUAUAGGAUUUAGGAGGGGUGUUGCGAAUUUGACGAGGGUGAUAAUGAGGGAUUGUAUGGGAUAUUCAAUGGAGGGAAAGGUGCAUGGUGACAUUAAUGUGGUGUAACUUUGAAAUAGUAUUGCUUUUUUAUGAGGGUGUUGGUGGGUUUUUUUAUGUUAGCCAUAGGCAUGGAUGAAUUAAUGAGGCGGUGGUGUUGUAUAAGGUGAGGAAGGUUGACAUUUUGUAGAGGUGUGAGUGUAGGUUUUUAGAGGCAGAGAUGAUGGGAAUGGUGGUACAACAGUGGUGAAAGUUAUGGAAUUAGAGAUGGGUUAUGAGUUGCGUGAUAUGAGAGGUUGAUGACAUUGGUUUGAAAAUGUGUAGGGUUGAGGGAUUGAGAGUCAAGAGGAUGGUGCCAAUGAUGGGUUUUCAUGGUGUUAGUCCUAUGGUUUUUUUGUGGAGAAUGGUGUGUGCAAUGAUGAGCCCCAUGCCAUGUUCUCAUAUGGGUUUCCCAAUUAAAAAAAAAAAUAGUGGUUUUUGCCUUAUGAAUAUUAUUAUAAUAUGCUUUUGUAUUUGAGUACAUAAAAUAUAUUAAUUCAUAUAACAAUUCAAUGUCUUUUGUUCCAUUUCUAUCCCUUAUCCAAUCAUCAUUUUUUAUUUUUUAUUUUUACAGCAAGCAUGUACCAUUUGCAAUACAUCUUCAUUUAAUGCUCACUUAUUAUUAUUCUUCUGCCACAUGAUUUAUUUUAUAUUAUUAUUUAAAAAUAUAAAUUUAAUUUAAUAAAAAUAUAAUUAAUAUAAAAGUAUAGUAGAGAGAAUGUUGAGAUAGUGCUGAAGUGUAAUACCUUAAUUGACAUAAGUAAAUAUGUAAAGUGAGCCUAUGCUAUAUGUAUUAGAACAAAAUUAGGGGUUUACAACUGUCUAGACCAAAUUUUGAAAUGAUAUGUUUUUGAGAGUAAGUCUCAAGAGGGGCAUAAAACGUAUUAUCUUGAUACAUGUUGAGAAAUUUUGCUUUCAUGCAUAAAAAUAACUACAAAAGUCUUGUAGAGUGAUUGUAUUAACACACAUUAUUCAUGACAAAGCAUGUGGAUGGCAUUUUACCUUAAGAAAAAUAAUUGCAAAGUCUCAUAGAAUAGGUUAUGAAAAAUGUGGACAUCUUGGUAAAGUCGGUUAGGAGCAUAUAAUGCCUCUAAACAUUAUCAUUGUGGUUGAAACAUGGGGUGUGUUUUUUCUCAUUUUGUUUAGUUCAUUAGUUAAUUUGGAUGCGCUAACAAGUUCUUUUGCAAAGUUUUGGAUGCCUAGAAAUUUUUAGGUACUCAAUUUAACUUAAGGAUAAAAAAGAAGAGUUGCAAAAGGAAAUAGAUUGGAAGGUAGAAAGUGGAUGAACAAAUGCCAAUAGGUGAAGCUUAGAUGAAAUGAUAAAAAGAUGGUAGAUAUUGUUCCUAAUUCAAAAUUUGACUAUCACUUGUGUUUUGAGUCCAAUUUCCUUGAAAAGUAUAUUUACUUAUGCAAUAGACACUAUACUUGAGAAUUGUUGAAAAUUAAUUUUGAAUCCUAUGUAAUGUCUAUUUAGUAAGUAAGUUGCAUGCUCAAGGUUUGUUUAUGGAGAGAAGGGAGAAAUUUAAGGCUUUAGCAAGAAAAGAUAGGUGAAUUCUUUUGAAAAAUGCCUAUAUCAAAGUUAAAUGUUGAUAUGAGCAUAUAUCAAAGUGAAAAAUUCUUUUGAAAUGUUGCAUUACAUCAAGAUUUUAAUGUUCCCCAAUAUAACAUGAUUUUGGUUCUAUUAGACACAUUGAAGGUUUUUUCAAAUUCACAAUUAUUUUUGGAUUGACCUAAAGACUGAUUGCUCGAGGUAUUGAAUUGGUGGUGGAUGGUUGCAAUUGUGUUGGGUGAGAAGGACAAAUUGGAUUUUAUAUGAACUUGUUCCUUUUCAUUUUGAGGUACUUGGUAGAAAUGAACAUGAACACAAUUAUUGACAAAUAACUGCUUAGUUAAAAUCAAGUAUCCGGGCUCAUCCAAUGCUUUAGGGUUGUUUGAUUUUUUCUAUUUUAAUUUUUAUUUAGUUUUUUUACUCAAACCUUAAAGUAAGUUGCUUCAAGACUAAAUACAUUUUAGAAUAUAUAUAUAUUUAAAAAAAAAAGUAAUAAGAUGAAAAAUAAAUAGUUCUAAAAUGUAUUCAGUCUUGAAGCAACUUACUUUAAGGUUUGAGUAAACAAACUAAAUAAAAAAUAAAAAUAGAAAAAAUCAAACAACCCUAAAGCAUUGGAUGAGCCAAUGACCGGAUACUUGAUUUUAACUAGGCAGUUAUUUGUCAAUAAUUGUGUUCAUGUGAAUACAUUUUAGAACUAUUUAUUUUUCAUCUUAUUACUCUUUUUUUUAAAAAUAUGUAUUUAUAUAUAUAUAUAUAUAUAUAUAUAUAUAUAUAUAAGGAAAAAGUGAAUAAUCUUAACUUUUAUAUUAAUAGAAAAAGUCAUUUUUUUUCUUUUUAUAUUUUUUUUUAUCUCUAACUUUGUUAUGAUAUUUAGACCUAAUUUCUCGUAUAAAAUAUAAUCAAUUUCAUUUUUUUUUAUGACUUUAGGUAACUUUUAUCUUAAAAACAAAUUAAACUAUUUCAAUUUUGUGUAAUUUGAAAGAAAAAUGAAUAUGUUAUAAAUUAACAAAGUUGUCAUCAAGAAAAAAAAUGAAAUGUUUGAAAUAUGCUUUGUUUUUGUCCAUUUUCCCUCUUGUUUCUUGAUAAAAUUUAGAUAUAAAUUUUUUUGAUUUUUUUUAUAUUAUUAAAAGAAGCCCAACAACAUAAAAGUAACUUAAUUUGGGCAACAAAUUAAUCUAAAUAAAUUCAUAAAUUCCAAAACUUGAAUCAAAAUUCUACCACAUUUAGCUAUUGUUUCUGUUUCAUAAUUCAUCAAAUACUCAACAAAAUUAAAUUUCAUAAAUUUUUGUAGAUUUCUCAUUUAAUAAUAAAAUUAACAAUACUUAAAUCAUAAACAUUUUUAUUAGAAAUGUAUGUACUACAAAUUUUUAUAAUUCAACCUCUUAUGGUAGAACAAGACUAAAAUAAACUAUCAUCGAUUCUAAUGAAUUUUUUUUAGUUAGAACUCCAAAACACAAUUCACACUCAUCUAAAAAUCUAUUAGAAUAAGCAAUAAUAAUUAAUUUCAAAAAAUAAAUUGUUAGGAUUUAAUGUUGAAAAUUUAAAAUAAAAAAAUUAAUGAAUUAAUCUCAAUAAAAAACACAUUUUUCAAUUACAAAUCCGUAAAUCCGAAGAUACGCCAUAUAGAAAUAACUAUUAACUUAGAAUUUUUUUUUAACAUUUUCUUAGUAAUCAAGCAUAAUUAGAAACUCUCAUUAUUAUAUAAUUAUUCUUAACUAAUUACAAUAUUAGUUAUUGUAAAAUUUUUAUUAUGGUAAUAAAUUUUGAUAUUUUGGGAAAUAUUUAAAUUUAAAUCUGAAGACACACCAUAUAGAAAUAAGCGUCAAAUUAGAUUUUUUUUAAAUAUUUUUUUAGUAACCAAGCAUAAUAGGAAAUCCUUGUUAUUAUCCAAUUAUGCUUAAAUAAUUACAAUAUUAAUUAUUAUAAAAUGUUUAUUACCAUAAUAAUUUUGAUAUUUUGGAAAUAUUUAAAUUACUAUAUAUUUUAAAAUUUUAAAAUUUUUAAAACUAAAAUAAUAACAAAUACUAUAAUUAAUUUUGUAGACAUUUUUAACAAGUGAAAUAAAUAAAUUUAAUACUUAUAGUAUUUUGACAUAAGUAAAAAUAAACAAUUUAACACUUAACAUAUUUCAAAUACAAUAAAGCACAAAGAGUCUAAACACUUUGGACAUUUUGCUCUAUUUAAUUUCAAUCCAAAUUCAAAUCUAUUUAGAUUUUAGAAAAACAAACAAACAAGUAAAACAUCACCUUAGGUGGUGUGUGUGUCUAUAUAUAUAUAUACACCUUAAUUUAACUCAAAACUAAAUACUAUUUAAUAGUGUUAAGUAUUAUUUUUUUAUAUUAUUUUUUUCUAUAAGAUUUGUCAUUUUUAAAAUGGUUGUUUUUUAACAUACCAUAUUUUCUAAGAUAAUUUUGUGUCAAUAGAAAAAGUAAAUUUCUUUUUUACUUCUAUCUUAAAUCUUAAAACAACUUGCUUCUAAACUCAAGUUAAAAAACAAAUAGCCCAUUAAUUUACUACAAGUUAUGAGUCACUAUGAAAAGAUUGAUGAGAAAUGUUUCAUACUCGAUCUUGUUGGAAUUGUAUCCUUCUCUAAUUGAUUUCUCAAGUCUAGUGGCUUCUCCUUAUGGAAUAAGAGAAAGUGAUAGGUACAAUAUAGAAACAGAAAGGUGGGUGGACAAGAUGAAUGUAUAGAAAGAAUAAUUUUGAGUUACAUAUGAUAAACUAUUUGUUAUCAUAAGAUGGACCAGAAUUUCAUAUUGACCAACAUUCAUACCUCUAUGGGUGAAAAUUUGAACCUUGACUCAAACCUAUCAUUAGCACAAAGUGGAAACUAUUUCUCAUUGAUUCACAUCCCUCUUAACUAUUUAUAUAUAUACACCAAGAUUAGUCUUUAGUUAUCAAGAUAACUUAUCAUAGUAAACUUUUUGUUGAGCUAAGAAAGUGAGGCCUUGCCUUGAAGGAUAUAUACUCGUUGAAGAUGAUAGUAAAUGGUGUUGCCAAAACUACUUGAAGUAACUAGGCUAUCUAGCUAGGAGGUAAACUAAAACAAGACAUCUUCGAUUAUUUUAUAUACUAUUUAACGAUUUAUAUGAAAAUCUAUUCAUUGCUAUUGAGAUGUCCUCUAAGUUGGGAAGUAUAUCCCCAAGCUCCCACACUUUCUUUUUCAUGGAAGCUGUUAAACACUAUAUUAAUGAUUCUACAAAAACAUGAUAUGUUUCACCUACAUGGAGGAGAAUACCAAAACUUAAUGCAAUAACAAGCAAUUCACAAACAAGGGUUGUUAAAAUUACUUAGUGCAUAGGUCUCAUUGACAACUGUGAUGUUCCAUGAAGGGAAAUUGCAAACGAACCACUUGAACUCUUUCUAUAUCCACCUAUUUAUUUUUAUUUUUUAAAAUCCAAAAAUGGAUAUGAAAAUGAAAAUGUUUUUAUCUUUUUCAUAUCCACAUAAACCCUAGCUUUAAUCCUUCCUUUUCACUACAACUCAUCAUAGACCUAUCGCUUUCUCCCUCUCAAAUUAGUAUUUUUUGAACUAUAUUAAUCUAUAAGUAGGUUUAUAACAUCAUUUCCAACAUACUACUUGGAGUAGGUAGUUAUUUUAUUGACAACAUCAUAUUAACCACUACCAUUAUCCUAACAACUUGUGAAAGAUAAAUCACUAAAGUCACAUUGGUGGAAACCAAAUCAAUCAAGUGCAUAAAAAAAAAUGAUAAUCAUCACUUUGUCACGAGAAAAUACAAUAUAUCCAAUGGCAUCAAAUGAAAGAUAACUUAUUGUUUUAUUAAUUUUGAAGAUUGUGAAAGCAUAGAAAUUUAGAUGAAAGAUAAUGUUACCUUUUCUUAUAACUCAUUUGAUAUAGAGACCAUUAUUUCAAUAUCCUAAUUUGUUGGCCAAUUUAAAAUAUUUGAAUUAAUAUUUUUCUUAAUUAGGAAAUACUUAUUCAUGUUUGCUUAUACUAACGGAUGAUGUAACUUUUGCUAAAAUGGUUUUGAAUAUGCAAAUGUUGAUUAGAUGAUGGAGUACCUUUGUGUUUAAUUAAAAUAUUUUUAGAGAACUUAGAACAUUAUUUUUGUUGUGAGCUUGACAUCUCUUAAGGCCAAUGGCUAUUUGGAGUCAUCGUUGAUUUGUAGUGAUAAUAUACAAACAAAAUUACAUGGAAAUUGUCUGUAUUUAAAAUAAAAUAUUAAUUUCCAUGAUAUUUCAAUUUUUUAUUUUAAACAUUGUCCUCUCUUAGAAUUUAUUAAAACAUGCAUCUUCACUUUUAAAAUUAAAUAAUAAGAAACACCUAUUUUAAUAGUAAAAUAAAUUCAUAAGGCAAACAAGUGAACAUGAAAAUUCUAUUUUUAUCUAAGUUUAUUUAAUUAUCUAUUUUUGUAAAUAUGGAAAAGAAAAAUCUAAAAAAAUAAAAAACAAAUUUUACAUUAACCAACUUUAAAACUUUAAAAAAUCAAAAUUUUCCCUAAAUGAAACUAAGAAAAAAUAAUCUUUUAUACUAAUAUAAAAAGAAUAUUCAUUUCAUAAAAAACUAAAGUAUCACUUAAGGAUUUGUCUUGGGUUAAUUGUUAUACCUCAUUUUUUCAUUUGAUCAUAAAAUAGUUGUCUCUAUUAUCAAAGUAUACCUUAGAAUAAAAUAGUUGUAUUGGGAAAUCUGACACAUCAUUCAUCAAUCUAUAAACCUGCACAAUUUCCCUUUUGGUAUAUAUCAUUUUCCUGGUGCUAUGUUUAAUAUUUCUUUCUUCUUGGAUUUUUCUUCUGUACUCAAAAGAAAAAAAAGGCAUGAAUUUUUACGUAUUUUCCUACCUCCCAUGAAAGAAAGCGUACAAGGAUUAUUAACCUGGUGAAGAACUCCGAGGAGUGUAAGGUCAUCUCCAGGCUUAAGUGUUAAGUCAUGGAGAAUCCCAAGGAUUGCUCUUGAACUAACAUCUCUGGAUGCAUCCUGGACCACCACCACUUGCUGGGCAUCUCUCGACAUGAUUUAUCUGGUUGAAACUUUGUGACUAGGACUGAAAGUAAGCACAAUUAUAGAUUUCUAUACAAUCAGUUUUCUCGGUUUCUUCCUUUGAUAAUGCCUUUAAUAUUCUUAAAAAUAUGUAUAAAUGUAGCUAUAUUUUGAGAAAAAACACAGGAAAAACACGCCAUGGAGGUUCUGGUUAUGGUCUGGUUAUAACGAAUUCAUUGAGUAUGAUUUUCUGAUACCAUGAAAGGAGAACUCCACUCAGAAGGACGUACGUAAUGGAUGAAAAAAAAGUCAGAAAAUGAUGGAAAAAAAUCAUAAGAACUCGCAACUAUCAGGAACUCUUCAUUGUAUUAGAUUCUACUUCUAACAACAUUGGGGUGGAAAGGGUGGUGGUGAAUCUAGGCAUCUUUAGUGUUAGUUCAAGAGCAUAUUCUGAGAUGCGAGCCUCGGGUCUCUCAAGUUUUUUAUGCUGUUGGGGAGGAUCUCUUAUUGUUUAUGAUUGG